AUAGAAGAAGAAAUAUAUUUCCUUAGUUUAACUAGUAUGUUAUUUGACAUUUAAAAUUUUCCUGUUUAAACUAAUGUUUUAAAUCUAACCGAAGGUGUUAAUUUAGACAACAUGAAGUUAUGUUGUGGAAAUUUUACAUGGGUGUUAGCUCAUUGGUACCUUCUUUCUUUAAUACAAUUUCAACUGUUACAUUCAAAAAAAAAAAAAAAGAAAAAGUUACAUAUUGGAGAUUGACCCAAUUAAAAGUAGAGGGUGGAAAUUGAGUGUUGGUUAUAUUAAUUUCCCAUAAGAAAUUAUAUACUAUUACAUGAUCAAUUAAUAAAAUCUAUGUUUUAAUCAACUAACUUAUAUAUCUGUAACAUAUUUUAUUUCACAAAAUUUUAAAUUUCCGUGUACUUUUGGUUAAGAAAUCAUGAAGCUUCAUACUUCAAUUCUGUUCUAUCACUAUUUUAAACUCAUAAAUUAGUAAAAUUAUUUUCAGAUAUUUCAUUUCAUAAAUCUCCAUUUCAUAUAGAUAAUUUUAAUUAGUAUUCAUAUAAAACUACAUCCAUACUUGCAAUUGUUAUGCUAAUGGAGGAUAUAACGGUUAUAAAGAUAAAUAGCUGUAAUCCUGAUUCAUGACUCCUUGUGAAGUAUGAUCAUCGCUUGUUCAGUAUUUACAAUUCCAAAAUAAUUGAAGAUUUUGUAAAUUAAAAAAUGUAACAAGCCUUGUUCUUGUAAUAGCUAUUAUGUUCUGUGCAUAUACCUUAUGCUGCAAAAUAAGCAAGCUGUAAGCAGGUAGAAACAUGGGACUUCUACUUGUUCUUAGUUAUGGAUCUAAAAAUCUUUGUCUCAUAGUUUUUUCUUGAUGUGCAUUGCCCUUGUUUCUUUUUAUUAUGCUGGCCGAACAAUUUACCUUAAUGUUUUUGGCUUGGAAAUGGUUCUCCAAUGUUGGCUUUGAAAGAGAAACAGCCUGAUGGUUCAGUUUGCAAUCCAUGUUUAAUUGAUUCUCACUCUUAUUGGGAAUUUACUAAUUUUUUAAUAGUCUUGAUAAAUUUAAUUACAACAUAAAAUUUUUGUUUAAGCUGCUCCCAGGCCUCAUCGAAUUCUUUGUGUCUGGGAUUUCAGUUCCCAAAUCGUAAAGUGUUGU
rnacentral:lncRNA from 1 species